GGCCCCUUCGGGGGUACUCGAGCGGCGAACGGGUGAGUAACACGUGAGCAACCUGCCCCUGACUCUGGGAUAAGCCCGGGAAACUGGGUCUAAUACCGGAUAUGACCACUCCAGGCAUCUGGUGGUGGUGGAAAGUUUUUCGGUUGGGGAUGGGCUCGCGGCCUAUCAGCUUGUUGGUGGGGUGAUGGCCUACCAAGGCGACGACGGGUAACCGGCCUGAGAGGGCGACCGGUCACACUGGGACUGAGACACGGCCCAGACUCCUACGGGAGGCAGCAGUGGGGAAUAUUGCGCAAUGGGCGGAAGCCUGACGCAGCGACGCCGCGUGGGGGAUGACGGCCUUCGGGUUGUAAACCCCUUUCAGCAGGGACGAAGCUAACGUGACGGUACCUGCAGAAGAAGCGCCGGCUAACUACGUGCCAGCAGCCGCGGUAAUACGUAGGGCGCAAGCGUUGUCCGGAAUUAUUGGGCGUAAAGAGCUCGUAGGCGGUUUGUCGCGUCUGUCGUGAAAGCCCACGGCUUAACCGUGGGUCUGCGGUGGAUACGGGCAGACUAGAGGCAGGUAGGGGAGAAUGGAAUUCCCGGUGUAGCGGUGAAAUGCGCAGAUAUCGGGAGGAACACCGGUGGCGAAGGCGGUUCUCUGGGCCUGUACUGACGCUGAGGAGCGAAAGCGU
rnacentral:rRNA from 1 species